AUUGAACGCUGGCGGCAGGCCUAACACAUGCAAGUCGAACGGUAGCACAGAGAGCUUGCUCUCGGGUGACGAGUGGCGGACGGGUGAGUAAUGUCUGGGAAACUGCCUGAUGGAGGGGGAUAACUACUGGAAACGGUAGCUAAUACCGCAUAACGUCGCAAGACCAAAGAGGGGGACCUUCGGGCCUCUUGCCAUCAGAUGUGCCCAGAUGGGAUUAGCUAGUAGGUGGGGUAACGGCUCACCUAGGCGACGAUCCCGAGCUGGUCUGAGAGGAUGACAAGUCACACUGGAACUGAGACACGGUCCAGACUCCUACGGGAGGCAGCAGUGGGGAAUAUUGCACAAUGGGCGCAAGCCUGAUGCAGCCAUGCCGCGUGUAUGAAGAAGGCCUUCGGGUUGUAAAGUACUUUCAGCGGGGAGGAAGGGAGUAAGGUUAAUAACCUUGCUCAUUGACGUUACCCGCAGAAGAAGCACCGGCUAACUCCGUGCCAGCCGCCGCCGUAA
rnacentral:rRNA from 1 species